UACCAUGCAGUCGUACGCUGAGCCCGCGCUUGCGUGGGUGGAUGAGUGGCGAACGGGUGAGUAACACGUGGGUAAUCUGCCUUGUACUCUGGGAUAAGCCUUGGAAACGGGGUCUAAUACCGGAUAGGACCAUUCCUCGCAUGGGGGGUGGUGGAAAGCUCCGGCGGUAUGAGUUGAGCCCGCGGCCUAUCAGCUUGUUGGUGGGGUGAUGGCCUACCAAGGCGGUGACGGGUAGCCGGCCUGAGAGGGUGACCGGCCACACUGGGACUGAGACACGGCCCAGACUCCUACGGGAGGCAGCAGUGGGGAAUAUUGCACAAUGGGCGCAAGCCUGAUGCAGCGACGCCGCGUGAGGGAUGACGGCCUUCGGGUUGUAAACCUCUUUCGCCAGGGACGAAGGGUGAUACUGACGGUACCUGGAGAAGAAGCACCGGCUAACUACGUGCCAGCAGCCGCGGUAAUACGUAGGGUGCAAGCGUUGUCCGGAAUUAUUGGGCGUAAAGAGCUCGUAGGCGGUGUGUCACGUCUGCCGUGGAAACCUACAGCUUAACUGUGGGCGUGCGGUGGAUACGGGCAUCACUUGAGUUCGGCAGGGGAGACUGGAAUUCCUGGUGUAGCGGUGGAAUGCGCAGAUAUCAGGAGGAACACCGGUGGCGAAGGCGGGUCUCUGGGCCGAUACUGACGCUGAGGAGCGAAAGCGUGGGGAGCGAACAGGAUUAGAUACCCUGGUAGUCCACGCUGUAAACGUUGGGCGCUAGGUGUGGGGUGCUGUCCACGCACUCCGUGCCGUAGCUAACGCAUUAAGCGCCCCGCCUGGGGAGUACGGCCGCAAGGCUAAAACUC
rnacentral:rRNA from 1 species